AUUCCUCCAGCUGAGAUCCUUAGAUGAGCCACAUUGGAGCUCUACACUGCUGAACAUAGUUCUUGUGAGCAUCUGUCUGGCGCCUGGGCUUGGGAGUUAAGUCUGUUAUAGAGAACAUCUAGCCACUAUACCAAGAAGGGCCUCCAUGUUUACUGCUGACCAUGAGCUCACCCACAGACACCUGUGAGAUUUCCUGGCCAACAUAUCAGUUCUCCCUCCGGACACAGGCAGGGAAGUCCUGGUGGCCUUGGCAACAGCAUCACUUUGGAGCUCAGACGGAAAAUGGCAAGAGGAACUCUAAGAAAUGACUGCUGCUUCUUGGCUUCGCUUUUGUGCCUAGCAUCCUGAGCCAGUUAGAUCAUCUACUUCCUACCCCAGGACGCAGAGCACUGCUCUGACACUCUGGAAAGCCCUGUGGAAUGUAGAAGGGUAAUAACGACACGCACCUACACAGCGCAUGGAGGCUGCGGAGGACCUGUCAUUGCAAGGUUUUUCUCAUUCCCCACACUGCUCCCUGAGGACAGGGAGUUUCAUCACAGACUAUGAUGGCUCUCUGAGGCACUGUGAAGAAUAGUCUAUUCCCUCUGCCUGAAACAUGCACCACCUAUUCCUACUCUAGUGGAUGGAGGUAAGUAUAGAUUUUGUUUAUUCAACACGUUUUCUUAUCCCCAGUUUUAUGGUAACAGUGUUCUUCCUUUUUUUCCCCUUCGGGGAACAUCCUCCCCCAGAUUAAUCUUCAACUGUCCAGCAUGAUUCUCCUCCAUACCCUGGCAACAGAGGAGAGAUGUGUGACUAAGAUUUGGCCAAUCAUGGGACCCGAUUCCUGUGAUCAUCAUGAUUGGUCCAAGGCUGAAUGUGUGACUGAUCCAAGGAUUACAAUUGUUUCCUCUUCAAGCAAUGAUGCAAUGAAUAUUCUGUGCUGGGACUGAUAUUUGCUUUCAUUUGUUCAAUCAUUCCCAUGGGAUAGUUGCUGAGUCAUAUGUAGGUACAAAACUUAUAUAUGCUCAUUGGAGAAGAGGAAGAAGAAGGAGGAGGAGGAAGAGGAAGAAGAUGAGGAUGAUGAAAGAGGGAAGGAAGGAAGGAAGGAAGGAAGGAAGAAAGAAAGGAAGGAAGAAAAAGAAAGGAAGGAUGAAAGAGAAGGAAAGAAGGAAAAGAAAUUCUAGCUUUGAGAAUCUUGGAUGGCUCAUCCAGAUACUGCCAAUCCCUGGGCUGGUCAGUGGCCUUUGACCUGUGUAGCCUGGCUCAGAAAAAUGAAUGAGAUCAGUCACAUUCUCCCUCUCAGGAAUGUGGCCUCUAAAACUCAGAGGGAAGUAGGACUUGUGAAGAAACUGGUCCCAUUUGGACUGUAUGGUGCUGUCCAGACCCUUGUCUAGGAUGGCAGCACCUAUGGUCCCCAGCUGCAGCCUUCAUGUCGCACAUGAGGACAACUCUGAGACCAACACAAUUCCAAAGCUCCUCGCAGGGCUGGCUGAAGACUUUGUUGAGGCUGCUCUGCUGCUCAAUUUCUCCCCCUACCCACUCCUCCUUCUCCCUUCGCCCCCACACUCCCAUGGACAUUAGCCCCAGGGCCCACCAUGAUAAGCUUUCUGCUCACUAAUCUUCACCUCAGAGUCUGUUUCUAGGGGGACCAACCUGCCACAGGGUAGGAAGAAAGGAUGAUGCGUGGAAUCAUGUGUGUCUGGCACAGGCCCCUGACUCCCUAGACAUUCCCGCCUCUGCACUUUUGCCUAUACUGACCCUGGCUGCUGAGGCCGGGCUCACAUAGCUGGUCUUCUACAAAGUCAUUUGAGAACACCCAAGUCAAAAGCAUUUUGUUUGUAUGCUGAUGAUAACAUUUGCUAUUAGCUGCCUUGUGUUAAGGGUCAACUAGGUUAACUAGCUACAAUGCUUCUUUAGUUUAAAAAAAAAAAAAAAAGGCACCUGGGAGGCUCAGUGGUUGAGCAUCUGCCUUCAGCUCAGGUCAUGAUCCUAGGGUCCUGAGAUCGAGUUCCGUAUCAGGCUCCCUGCGAGGAGCCUGAUUCUCCCUCUGCCUAUGUCUCUGCCUCUCUC